UGCGGGGUGGAGCAGUUUGGUCAGCUCGUGGGGUUCAUAUCCCCAAGGUCGCAAGUUCGAAUCUUGCCCCCGCAA
rnacentral:tRNA from 1 species